AUACGUAGGGGGCAAGCGUUAUCCGGAUUUACUGGGUGUAAAGGGAGCGUAGACGGUAUGGCAAGCCCGAUGUGAAAGCCCGCAGCUCAACUGCGGGACUGCAUUAGGAACUGUCAAACUAGAGUGUCGGAGAGGCAAGUGGAAUUCCUAGUGUAGCGGUGAAAUGCGUAGAUAUUAGGAGGAACACCAGUGGCGAAGGCGGCUUUCUGGACUGAAACUGACACUGAGGCACGAAAGCGUGGGGAGCAAACAGGAUUAGAUACCCUGGUAGUCCACGCCGUAAACGAUGAGCACUAGGUGUCGGGAGGAUGAACUCUCGGUGCCGCAGUUAACGCAAUAAGUGCUCCGCCUGGGGAGUACGCACGCAAGUGUAAAACUCAAAGGAAUUGACGGGG
rnacentral:rRNA from 1 species